CCUUAUCUCAAUCCUCCUGCUAGGGCACAUGGAAAGACUGAAUGGUGUAACAAACAUAAACAAUUUUUGAAAAGCAUAUAACAUGACUUAAACACACUAUGUAUCUUAGUUCAUGGGUGCUGCUGUAACAGAAUACCUGAGGCUGGGCAAUUUAUACAGAACAGGAAUUUAUUGGCUCACAGUCCUGGAGGCUGAGAAGUCCAAGAGCAUGGCACCAGCAUCUGCUGACGAGGAGCUUUCUACUUUGUCAUCCUGUGGUGGGAGGUGGUUGGGCAAGAAAAGGCAAGAGCAAGAGAGUACAAAGGGGGCUCAAACUCACUUUUAUAACAAACCCACUCCUGCAAUAAUGAACCCACUCCCUCAAUCACAACAUGAAUCUAUUCAUGAGGGCAGAGCCCUCCUGACCUAAACACCUCCCAUUAGGUUCCACCUCCCAACCCUGUUGCAUUGGGAAUUAAGUUUCAAACACAUGAACUUUGGGGAACACAUUCAAACUGCAGCACUGGGCAUGGUGUAUUUAUUUAAUUAAAGACACCUCUCAUAUGUAAUUCUGUCUUUAAGGCAGAUAUUAUUGAGGGUAAGUGCUCUUCUUUCUCCUAAAGCAUUCCUUGGUGUAGCUGUGAAAGAGAGAAUAAUGGGCUAGAAGGACAAUAGAUCUCAUCCACUAAAGAAUCCCGGGGUCCUCCGAAUUAACUGCUCUGGAACUGUCCAGCCCAUGCCUUCAGCUCUCAAGAGUGACUCGUGUGUGCCUGUGCCUCUGCCGAGGCAGAUCCAAAAGGCAUCCCGAGGCCAGGUGCGGAUGCCAGUGUGCAGGUCUGAAGGUCUACAUUUUAUAAGCUUUCUUUUAAGGAAAAGAAAACAAAAUUGCAAGUCCAAAAUUUAGUAUAAGAUGUUAGAAGGGGUCUGAGCAAGUGAGUUCCUAAAGUGUAAGUUCCAUUAGCAUCAUGAUAAAUCCGCCUCUACACUCGGGUUUUCCCAAUAGGUGAAAAGUUUUACUAAGGACAGGGCCUGGACCUUCCAGAAGUUUAGAAAACUUCUUGGCCGGCUCACACCUGUAAUCCCAGCACUUUUGGUGGCCGAGGCGGGUGGAUCAUGAGGUCAGGAGUUGAAGACCAGCCUGAUGAACAUGGUGAAAUCCCGUCUCUACUAAAAAUACAAAAAUUAGCUGGGUGUGGUGGUGUACACCUGUAAGGAGUGCUGAGGAGGAGGCUGAGGCAGGAGAAUUGCUUGAACUCGGGAGGCAGAGGCUGCAGUGAGCUGAGAAUGCACCAUGGCACUCCAGCCUGGGCGACAGAGUGAGACUCUGUCUCAAAAAAAAAAAAAAA
rnacentral:lncRNA from 1 species